rnacentral:rRNA from 1 species
GCUAAAUAAGAGCGUAUGGGGAAUGCCUAGGCUCUCAGAGGCGAUGAAGGACGUGAUAAGCUGCGAAAAGCUGCGGGGAUUGGCACAUACAAAUUGAUCCGCAGAUAUCCGAAUGGGGCAACCCAGCAUGUUGAAGACAUGUUAUCCGCAAGGAGGCGAACCCGGAGAACUGAAACAUCUAAGUACCCGGAGGAAAGGACAGCAAUAGCGACUCCCCUAGUAGUGGCGAGCGAACGGGGACCAGCCGAGCCUUGAGAGUGACCAGAAUGUGCUGGAAAGCACAGCCAUAGCGGGUGACAGCCCCGUACGGGAAGCUUUGAUGGACGUAUCAAGUAGGGCGGGACACGUGAAAUCCUGUCUGAAGAUCGGAGGACCACCUUCGAAGGCUAAGUACUCCUUACUGACCGAUAGCGAACCAGUACCGUGAGGGAAAGGUGAAAAGCACCCCGACGAGGGGAGUGAAACAGAUCCUGAAACCGGACGCCUACAAGCAGUCGGAGCCGCCUUGCGCGGUGACGGCGUACCUUUUGUAUAAUGGGUCAUCGACUUGGUCUAUCUAGCAAGCUUAAGCCGUUAGGUGUAGGCGCAGCGAAAGCGAGUCUUAAUAGGGCGCAUGAGUUAGAUGGAUCAGACCCGAAACCGAGUGAUCUAGGCAUGAUCAGGAUGAAGGCAAGGUAACACUUGCUGGAGGUCCGAACCCACA